rnacentral:rRNA from 1 species
UACAGAGGGGGCAAGCGUUGUUCGGAAUUACUGGGCGUAAAGGGCGCGUAGGUGGCCUUCUAAGUUGAACGUGAAAUCCCUGGGCUCAACCCAGGAACUGCGUCCAAGACUGGGAGGCUUGAAUCCGGGAGAGGGAUGCGGAAUUCCAGGUGUAGCGGUGAAAUGCGUAGAUAUCUGGAGGAACACCGGUGGCGAAGGCGGCGUCCUGGACCAACACUUGACACUGAGGAGCGAAAGCGUGGGGAGCGAACAGG